UUAAAAUUAGAGGUUUUAUUAAAUUCAUCGCAUUUUUUUUUAUUUUUUCAGUUUUUGAGAAAAAUGUAGUAAGCUAUCUGCUUCGUUUGUUUGUUUUUUUUAAGAAGUAAACUCAGUUAGAAAUAAAAAGUAACUAAAAUUUAAACUUGGAACCCGAAAUACCAAUUAUUAAGUUCUUAGUCAAUUAUACUAAAUAUGGUCUAUUAUCGUUAAUCUUAUU
rnacentral:lncRNA from 1 species